GGAAUAUUGCACAAUGGGCGCAAGCCUGAUGCAGCGACGCCGCGUGAGGGAUGAAGGCUUUCGGGUCGUAAACCUCUUUCAGUGGGGAAGAAGCGCAAGUGACGGUACCCACACAAGAAGGCCCGGCCAACUACGUGCCAGCAGCCGCGGUAAUACGUAGGGGCCAAGCGUUAUCCGGAUUUAUUGGGCGUAAAGAGCUCGUAGGCGGUUUGGUAAGUCGGUCGUGAAAGUCCGAGGCUCAACCUCGGAAUGCCGGUCGAUACUGCCAUGACUAGGGUUCGGUAGAGGAGAGUGGAAUUCUCGGUGUAGCGGUGAAAUGCGCAGAUAUCGAGAGGAACACCAGUAGCGAAGGCGGCUCUCUGGGCCGAUACCGACGCUGAGGAGCGAAAGCGUGGGGAGCAAACAGGAUUAGAUACCCUGGUAGUCCACGCCGUAAACGUUGAUCACUAGAUGUGGCGGACUYWUUGACGUCUGCYGUGUCGAAGUAACGCAUUAAGUGAUCCGC
rnacentral:rRNA from 1 species